UUCUGCAGUGGCAGUCCCAAAGACCUAAAUGCCCCUAAAGGUACCAGAUGGUAUCUGAUGUUGGAAGUGAAACAGGGUUAGCCCUAGAAAGUACUGGGAUGGGAAACCACCAAUGAAUCCCAGGUACUGUAGGUU
rnacentral:rRNA from 11 species